AGAGUUUGAUCAUGGCUCAGGACGAACGCUGGCGGUGUGCUUCACACAUGCAAGUCGAACGGGGUAGCAAUACCCAGUGGCGGACGGGUGAGUAACGCGUAGAAAUCUGCCUUUAGGUGGGGGAUAACAGUUCGAAAGAACUGCUAAUACCGCAUAUGAGUAUAAUUCGACAGUUUUGUACUUAAAAGGAGCAAUUUGCCUGAAGAUGAGUCUGCGUCCGAUUAGCUAGUUGGUAGGGUAAAGGCCUACCAAGGCGACGAUCGGUAGGUGGUCUGAGAGGAUGAUCACCCACAAUGGGACUGAGACACGGCCCAUACUCCUACGGGAGGCAGCAGUGGGGAAUUUUGUGCAAUGGGGGAAACCCUGACACAGCGACACCGCGUGAGCGAAGAAGCCCUUUGGGGUGUAAAGCUCUGUCAGCUGGAACGAAAAAAAUGACGGUACCAGCAGAGGAAGCAUCGGCUAACUACGUGCCAGCAGCCGCGGUAAGACGUAGGAUGCAAGCGUUGUCCGGAUUUAUUGGGCGUAAAGAGUUCGUAGGUGGUUCGUUAAGUCUGAUGUUAAAGAUCAGGGCUCAACCCUGGGAGUGCAUUGGAUACUGGCGGACUGGAGUAUGGUAGAGGCUAGUGGAAUUCCCAGUGUAGCGGUGAAAUGCGUAGAUAUUGGGAAGAACACCGGUGGCGUAGGCGACUAGCUGGGCCAUAACUGACGCUGAGGAACGAAAGCCAGGGGAGCGAAUGGGAUUAGAUACCCCAGUAGUCCUGGCUGUAAACGAUGGAUACUAGGCGUAGUGGGUAUCGACCCCUACUGUGCCGCAGCUAACGCGAUAAGUAUCCCGCCUGAGUAGUACGGCCGCAAGGUUGAAACUCAAAGGAAUUGACGGGGGCCCGCACAAGCGGUGGAACAUGUGGUUUAAUUCGAAGCAACGCGAAGAACCUUACCAGGGCUUGACAUGUCAGGAAUUUUUCGGAAACGAGAAAGUGCGA
rnacentral:rRNA from 1 species